rnacentral:rRNA from 3 species
GGGUUGUGAGGUUAAGCGACUAAGCGUACACGGUGGAUGCCCUGGCAGUCAGAGGCGAUGAAGGGCGUGCUAAUCUGCGAUAAGCGCCGGUAAGGUGAUAUGAACCGUUAUAACCGGCGAUACCCGAAUGGGGAAACCCAGUGUGAUUCGUCACACUAUCAUUAACUGAAUCCAUAGGUUAAUGAGGCGAACCGGGGGAACUGAAACAUCUAAGUACCCCGAGGAAAAGAAAUCAACCGAGAUUCCCCCAGUAGCGGCGAGCGAACGGGGAGGAGCCCAGAGCCUGAAUCAGCAUGUGUGUUAGUGGAAGCGUCUGGAAAGGCGCGCGAUACAGGGUGACAGCCCCGUACACAAAAGCGCAUGUGCUGUGAGCUCGAUGAGUAGGGCGGGACACGUGGUAUCCUGUCUGAAUAUGGGGGGACCAUCCUCCAAGGCUAAAUACUCCUGACUGACCGAUAGUGAACCAGUACCGUGAGGGAAAGGCGAAAAGAACCCCGGCGAGGGGAGUGAAAAAGAACCUGAAACCGUGUACGUACAAGCAGUGGGAGCCCCACCACUAAGCCAGUGGUGAACUCCACAUACGCAUCCUUUGCUGAAGGCAAUGGUUAACGGAGCGAAAGCGACGUUCAACCGCAAAAGAAGCAGAGGGGGCUUAGUGGUGGGGUGACUGCGUACCUUUUGUAUAAUGGGUCAGCGACUUAUAUUCUGUAGCAAGGUUAACCGAAUAGGGGAGCCGUAGGGAAACCGAGUCUUAACCGGGCGUUAAGUUGCAGGGUAUAGACCCGAAACCCGGUGAUCUAGCCAUGGGCAGGUUGAAGGUUGGGUAACACUAACUGGAGGACCGAACCGACUAAUGUUGAAAAAUUAGCGGAUGACCUGUGGCUGGGGGUGAAAGGCCAAUCAAACCGGGAGAUAGCUGGUUCUCCCCGAAAGCUAUUUAGGUAGCGCCUCGUGAAUUCAUCUCCGGGGGUAGAGCACUGUUUCGGCUAGGGGGCCAUCCCGGCUUACCAACCCGAUGCAAACUGCGAAUACCGGAGAAUGUUAUCACGGGAGACACACGGCGGGUGCUAACGUCCGUCGUGAAGAGGGAAACAACCCAGACCGCCAGCUAAGGUCCCAAAGUCAUGGUUAAGUGGGAAACGAUGUGGGAAGGCCCAGACAGCCAGGAUGUUGGCUUAGAAGCAGCCAUCAUUUAAAGAAAGCGUAAUAGCUCACUGGUCGAGUCGGCCUGCGCGGAAGAUGUAACGGGGCUAAACCAUGCACCGAAGCUGCGGCAGCGACACUCAGGUGUUGUUGGGUAGGGGAGCGUUCUGUAAGCCUGUGAAGGUGGCCUGUGAGGGUUGCUGGAGGUAUCAGAAGUGCGAAUGCUGACAUAAGUAACGAUAAAGCGGGUGAAAAGCCCGCUCGCCGGAAGACCAAGGGUUCCUGUCCAACGUUAAUCGGGGCAGGGUGAGUCGACCCCUAAGGCGAGGCCGAAAGGCGUAGUCGAUGGGAAACAGGUUAAUAUUCCUGUACUUGGUGUUACUGCGAAGGGGGGACGGAGAAGGCUAUGUUGGCCGGGCGACGGUUGUCCCGGUUUAAGCGUGUAGGUGUGUGUUCCAGGUAAAUCCGGUUCACUUUAACACUGAGGCGUGACGACGAGGCACUACGGUGCUGAAGCAACAAAUGCCCUGCUUCCAGGAAAAGCCUCUAAGCAUCAGGUAACAUCAAAUCGUACCCCAAACCGACACAGGUGGUCAGGUAGAGAAUACCAAGGCGCUUGAGAGAACUCGGGUGAAGGAACUAGGCAAAAUGGUGCCGUAACUUCGGGAGAAGGCACGCUGACACGUAGGUGAAGUGAUUUACUCAUGGAGCUGAAGUCAGUCGAAGAUACCAGCUGGCUGCAACUGUUUAUUAAAAACACAGCACUGUGCAAACACGAAAGUGGACGUAUACGGUGUGACGCCUGCCCGGUGCCGGAAGGUUAAUUGAUGGGGUCAGCGCAAGCGAAGCUCCUGAUCGAAGCCCCGGUAAACGGCGGCCGUAACUAUAACGGUCCUAAGGUAGCGAAAUUCCUUGUCGGGUAAGUUCCGACCUGCACGAAUGGCGUAAUGAUGGCCAGGCUGUCUCCACCCGAGACUCAGUGAAAUUGAACUCGCUGUGAAGAUGCAGUGUACCCGCGGCAAGACGGAAAGACCCCGUGAACCUUUACUAUAGCUUGACACUGAACAUUGAGCCUUGAUGUGUAGGAUAGGUGGGAGGCUUUGAAGCGUGGACGCCAGUCUGCGUGGAGCCGACCUUGAAAUACCACCCUUUAAUGUUUGAUGUUCUAACGUGGACCCGUAAUCCGGGUUGCGGACAGUGUCUGGUGGGUAGUUUGACUGGGGCGGUCUCCUCCUAAAGAGUAACGGAGGAGCACGAAGGUUGGCUAAUCCUGGUCGGACAUCAGGAGGUUAGUGCAAUGGCAUAAGCCAGCUUGACUGCGAGCGUGACGGCGCGAGCAGGUGCGAAAGCAGGUCAUAGUGAUCCGGUGGUUCUGAAUGGAAGGGCCAUCGCUCAACGGAUAAAAGGUACUCCGGGGAUAACAGGCUGAUACCGCCCAAGAGUUCAUAUCGACGGCGGUGUUUGGCACCUCGAUGUCGGCUCAUCACAUCCUGGGGCUGAAGUAGGUCCCAAGGGUAUGGCUGUUCGCCAUUUAAAGUGGUACGCGAGCUGGGUUUAGAACGUCGUGAGACAGUUCGGUCCCUAUCUGCCGUGGGCGCUGGAGAACUGAGGGGGGCUGCUCCUAGUACGAGAGGACCGGAGUGGACGCAUCACUGGUGUUCGGGUUGUCAUGCCAAUGGCACUGCCCGGUAGCUAAAUGCGGAAGAGAUAAGUGCUGAAAGCAUCUAAGCACGAAACUUGCCCCGAGAUGAGUUCUCCCUGAGACUUAGAGUCUCCUGAAGGAACGUUGAAGACGACGACGUUGAUAGGCCGGGUGUGUAAGCGCAGCGAUGCGUUGAGCUAACCGGUACUAAUGAACCGUGAGGCUUAACCUUACAACGCCGAAG